UGGGGAAUUUUGGACAAUGGGCGCAAGCCUGAUCCAGCAAUNCCGCGUGCAGGAUGAAGGCCUUCGGGUUGUAAACUGCUUUUGUACAGAACGAAAAGUCUUGGGUUAAUACCCUGGGACCAUGACGGUACUGCAAGAAUAAGCACCGGCUAACUACGUGCCAGCAGCCGCGGUAAUACGUAGGGUGCAAGCGUUAAUCGGAAUUACUGGGCGUAAAGCGUGCGCAGGCGGUUAUGUAAGACAGAGGUGAAAUCCCCGGGCUCAACCUGGGAACGGCCUUUGUGACUGCAUAGCUAGAGUACGGUAGAGGGGGAUGGAAUUCCGCGUGUAGCAGUGAAAUGCGUAGAUAUGCGGAGGAACACCGAUGGCGAAGGCAAUCCCCUGGACCUGUACUGACGCUCAUGCACGAAAGCGUGGGGAGCAAACAGGAUUAGAUACCCUGGUAGUCCACGCCCUAAACGAUGUCAACUGGUUGUUGGGUCUUAACUGACUCAGUAACGAAGCUAACGCGUGAAGUUGANNGCCUGGGGAGUACGGCCGCAAGGUUG
rnacentral:rRNA from 1 species